CGCGGAACUUUGAGGUAUUCCAUCUCUCAAGUGUACUUUGCGCACGACUCAUAAUCGUGAGGUCGCGGGAUCGAGUCCCGCCACCGCUACCA
rnacentral:tRNA from 1 species